AAAUAUUUACUUUCCCGUUUCCCGUCCCCGUCCCCGUUUCCGUGCAGCAUAGGUUGUGGCUGGUGAUUUUACUGCUGAUAUGGGUCGCAGAUUUCUUCAUCUCCUUCUGUGAGAAACUGGAUGAAUCUUCCUCUACGAAGUGUUUGGCUAAGACACCAAAGAAAAAUAACAAAAUCACUAUGAUCCCACAAUUAUUGGAUAGAGGACUUGCAUAGGACAUGGAAAAUGGCGUUAGAGUCAAGGAUAUGAUGAUACUCUUCGAACCAACCUACUCGAAUUGGAUGACAAUGGUCUUAUUCUGGAAAUUGAAGUCGCACAACAAAUAACCAAACAUUUCUACUUAGAUAUAGGAAGCUGGUAUAUCCUCAUGAUAAUUUAGAAAUGUUUGUUUCUAAACACAAACCAGAGAUAGAGAAGUACAUCUCUUUCUAAGGUUAUUUUCUACGGUGUACAAGGAACAUUAUCCACUUGCUUUGGGUGAUGAGGUUUGGAGGCUGAAAAUAUUUGAAAGGACGUGACUUACCAUAAGAAACUUUAUAAAUUCAGAUAAGUUGUUAUUAAUUACUUCUUUUGCUUUGAACUUCUUGGAGAGUUAUCAAGUAUAUCAUCACCAUCACUUCUUUUUCUCCCUCUUACUACUACGUAACACAACUGUAUACAGUCUCAAUCCAUCACCAUAUAUGUUUAAGUUAAUAUAGAGACAAACUGUGUUGUGUAUAUAUGGUAUAUGAUAAUAUAAUUGGUGGGAAGCUGAAGCUACUUUGAGUGUGAAAGCAGGUGAAAUAAAGAAGAGAAUAAACAUAAGAACGGUCGUGUUGAACAAGCUCUUCAAGUUACUGAUCAUGAACUCAUAAAAGGGUAAACUAAUGAAAGUGUUACAAUUGGUCGAGUGUUUAGAGUGGAAGACAUAAUAAGAUUGACAAGAAACCAAGAAAUGAAUGCAGGUCAAGGCAUUGUACAUGAAAGAGAUUUUGAAGAGAUUUAACACAACAACGUCUAAAGAAAUUAUUUAAACAUCACGGGAAAACUAUACGAGUUUGUGCACUACGCAUACAUAGAGGACAAGCGUCAAAAGAGCCAUGAUGGGUUGCACUAAAAGAUGUGUGAUCGGUGGUAUGCUUCAUUUGAAUAAUCAUUUUUUGUAUACUCUCUUUCAUCAGUUUGUUUUUCUUUGUAUUCUUUUUUUCUAACUAACAGUAUCAAGAAUCAAGGUGUUAUGACUUCUUAAAUGUGUUUCUAAU